rnacentral:rRNA from 1 species
CAGCAGCCACGGGAAUACGAAGGGUGCAAGCGUUGCUCGGAAUGACUGGGCGUAAAGGGCGCGUAGGCGGCGAUCAAAGUCAGGCGUGAAAUUCCUGGGCUCAACCUGGGGGCUGCGCUUGAUACUUGGUUGCUUGAGUGGGGAAGAGGGUCGUGGAAUUCCCAGUGUAGAGGUGAAAUUCGUAGAUAUUGGGAAGAACACCGGUGGCGAAGGCGGCGACCUGGUCCUUGACUGACGCUGAGGCGCGAAAGCGUGGGGAGCAAACAGGAUUAGAUACCCCCGUAGUCCCUGUCUCUUAUAC